rnacentral:tRNA from 1 species
GCGGACGUGGUGAAAUUGGCAGACACGCUAGAUUUAGGUUCUAGUGAGAAAAUCUCGUGAGAGUUCAAGUCUCUCCGUCCGCA